rnacentral:ncRNA from 1 species
UAAACGUGGGGACGUAUUGAUCCGCGACUGGUAACACGGUCACCGCCGCAGCGAUGCGGAUGGUCGCGGGGAGCGAGUGGUGAGACCGACCCCUUGUCGU